GAUUGAUUCAAGCAAUUUCUCCAGACUACAAUCCUGAUUUUAUAAUUAAUAUAGAUCAAACAGGUUGCGAAUACAGAAUGAAUGUUCGCGAGCUUAUAUGCACACAGGAGAGAAGUUAAUCGAACUUUACAUCGGAGAUUUGAAUAAGAUUUCUCACUCUUACACUGCACAGUAUUCUUUGACAAAAUCUGGUAAGCUAUUAAAUAAAGUUUUUGUUUGUUUGCAAGAAUUCUCAGGUAGCUUUGGAGCAGAUGUUCAGAAGGAUGUUGAUGAACUGCUUAAAUUGUGUAGAAAUGUUGAAGUAGUAUGUUCAAAAUCAGGAAAGUUAACGACAUCUCUAUACUAAGAGUAUUUGAAAAAUGUUAUCAAGUCCUAUAUUCGAACUAAUCCGUUUUUAUUUAUUGUUGAUUCCUGGGAGGUCAAAAAAACAUACAAAUAUACAAUGAAAUAUUCCAUGAUGAUAAUAACAAACCAACAUGCAACUUACAGAUAAUACCACCGAAAUCUACACCAAUCUGUCAGCCUUGCGACGUAUACUUUUAUAGACAAGUCAAAAUUAUCAUCAAAAAAAUUUCAAAACUGCCCUGAUUUACUUACUGAUGUUCAAAGUAUACAAUUGAACAUUUGAGCUGAUGUUAUUUGCAUGCAAUCAAUUACGCAUUAUUUAUUAUCAGCACCGAGAUUUAAAUAUAUGCUUCAGUAUGC
rnacentral:lncRNA from 1 species